rnacentral:rRNA from 1 species
UAGGGAAUCUUCGGCAAUGGACGAAAGUCUGACCGAGCAACGCCGCGUGAGUGAAGAAGGUUUUCGGAUCGUAAAACUCUGUUGUUAGAGAAGAACAAGGACGUUAGUAACUGAACGUCCCCUGACGGUAUCUAACCAGAAAGCCACGGCUAACUACGUGCCAGCAGCCGCGGUAAUACGUAGGUGGCAAGCGUUGUCCGGAUUUAUUGGGCGUAAAGCGAGCGCAGGCGGUUUCUUAAGUCUGAUGUGAAAGCCCCCGGCUCAACCGGGGAGGGUCAUUGGAAACUGGGAGAGUUGAGUGCAGAAGAGGAGAGUGCAAUUCCAUGUGUAGCGGUGAAAUGCGUAGAUAUAUGGAGGAACACCAGUGACGAAGGCGGCUCUCUGGUCUGUAACUGACGCUGAGGCUCGAAAGCGUGGGGAGCAAACAGG